GACGAACGCUGGCGGCGUGCCUAAUACAUGCAAGUAGAACGCACAGUUUAUACCGUAGCUUGCUACACCAUAAACUGUGAGUUGCGAACGGGUGAGUAACGCGUAGGUAACCUGCCUGGUAGCGGGGGAUAACUAUUGGAAACGAUAGCUAAUACCGCAUAAUAUUAAUUAUUGCAUGAUAAUUGAUUGAAAGAUGCAAUUGCAUCACUACCAGAUGGACCUGCGUUGUAUUAGCUAGUAGGUGAGGUAACGGCUCACCUAGGCGACGAUACAUAGCCGACCUGAGAGGGUGAUCGGCCACACUGGGACUGAGACACGGCCCAGACUCCUACGGGAGGCAGCAGUAGGGAAUCUUCGGCAAUGGACGAAAGUCUGACCGAGCAACGCCGCGUGAGUGAAGAAGGUUUUCGGAUCGUAAAGCUCUGUUGUAAGAGAAGAACGAGUGUGAGAGUGGAAAGUUCACACUGUGACGGUAUCUUACCAGAAAGGGACGGCUAACUACGUG
rnacentral:rRNA from 1 species